CAAGCGGUGGAGUAUGUGGUUAAUUCGAUGCAACGCGAAGAACCUUACCUGGUCUUGACAUCCCGGAGACCCUUAGGAAACUAGGGGUGCUUCCAUCUGGAAGAAUCUGGAGACAGGUGCUGCAUGGCUGUCGUCAGCUCGUGUCGUGAGAUGUUGGGUUAAGUCCCGCAACGAGCGCAACCCUUGCCUUUAGUUGCCAGCAGUUCGGCUGGGCACUCUAAAGGGACUGCCGGUGUUAAACCGGAGGAAGGUGGGGAUGACGUCAAGUCCUCAUGGCCUUUAUGACCAGGGCUACACACGUACUACAAUGGCCGAUACAAAGGGCAGCGACACUGCGAGGUGAAGCCAAUCCCGUAAAAUCGGUCUCAGUCCGGAUUGGAGUCUGCAACUCGACUCCAUGAAGUUGGAAUCGCUAGUAAUCGUGGAUCAGCAUGCCACGGUGAAUACGUUCCCGGGCCUU
rnacentral:rRNA from 1 species